rnacentral:rRNA from 1 species
AGCUUGCUUCUCUUGAGAGCGGCGGACGGGUGAGUAAUGCCUAGGAAUCUGCCUGGUAGUGGGGGAUAACGUCCGGAAACGGACGCUAAUACCGCAUACGUCCUACGGGAGAAAGCAGGGGACCUUCGGGCCUUGCGCUAUCAGAUGAGCCUAGGUCGGAUUAGCUAGUUGGUGGGGUAAUGGCUCACCAAGGCGACGAUCCGUAACUGGUCUGAGAGGAUGAUCAGUCACACUGGAACUGAGACACGGUCCAGACUCCUACGGGAGGCAGCAGUGGGGAAUAUUGGACAAUGGGCGAAAGCCUGAUCCAGCCAUGCCGCGUGUGUGAAGAAGGUCUUCGGAUUGUAAAGCACUUUAAGUUGGGAGGAAGGGCAGUAAAUUAAUACUUUGCUGUUUUGACGUUACCGACAGAAUAAGCACCGGCUAACUCUGUGCCAGCAGCCGCGGUAAUACAGAGGGUGCAAGCGUUAAUCGGAAUUACUGGGCGUAAAGCGCGCGUAGGUGGUUCGUUAAGUUGGAUGUGAAAUCCCCGGGCUCAACCUGGGAACUGCAUUCAAAACUGACGAGCUAGAGUAUGGUAGAGGGUGGUGGAAUUUCCUGUGUAGCGGUGAAAUGCGUAGAUAUAGGAAGGAACACCAGUGGCGAAGGCGACCACCUGGACUGAUACUGACACUG